ACACAGCGCAAUUGUACAAACGCUCACCAUUGUGGCUUGUCUAGGUCUUCAAUCGAACUCGCCAGGAACGAAACUUUCUCAGAUUGACAUACACCAUGAAGGAAAGUGGUUUCGAGAAUAAUGAUACAAAGCAAGCUGCUGCUGAUGUGUUGUUUCUAUAUUCAAAAUUUGCAAUGGCAUGCAUUGGAUGUAAGGCUCGUCCAUGUGAUUUGAGGUUUCAUUUGAUGAAGGAGAUUUCAGGUAUGCCCUCUUCUCUAAAUAGGGAGUCACCACAGAAUGCAGCAUCUCCUGAUGCAAUGGGUGAGUCAUCCAGCACAGGAACAGCAAGACUUGAUAGAACAGACAGUUUUCGUGCACUCUAGUUGAGAGUGGACUGUGACCAUGUUUUUGGUUGGGGCUGUGGCAUAGUAGGUGUUUGUGUCUUGGUAAAAGCACUUUUUUCCUGCAUAUUAUCAUAUUAUGAUGCUAUGCAGGCAGAAUUAUGUUUCCAAUUACCAUCUAUGCAAUGGCUCACAGAUUGGUAUUUGUUAUACCAGUCAGUCAGUCAUUUCAUUUUAAAUUUGUUGUAGUGUGGUUCAAAUUUGGUUCGUUUCAGUAAGUAAAUGUUGCUCUUAAUCCUUCUACCUGGCUCGAGUAUAAUUACCUCUCAUAAAGGAUGUAUGUAGUAUUGUAGUCUUGUACCAAAAAAAAAUCAGUAAAUAAAUGCAUGUGUUCAAUGUUUUUUUUUUGCUCAA